rnacentral:rRNA from 1 species
UACAGAGGUGGCAAGCGUUGUUCGGAAUUACUGGGCGUAAAGGGCGCGUAGGCGGCCUUCUAAGUCAGACGUGAAAUCCCCCGGCUUAACCUGGGAACUGCGUCUGAUACUGGAAGGCUUGAAUCCGGGAGAGGGAUGUGGAAUUCCAGGUGUAGCGGUGAAAUGCGUAGAUAUCUGGAGGAACACCGGUGGCGAAGGCGACAUCCUGGACCGGUAUUGACGCUGAGGCGCGAAAGCCAGGGGAGCAAACGGG